CUGCCACCUGCUCUGUAUUAAUGCAUAAUUCCUUAUGUCAUUUCUGGAACUCUUCCAACAGUUAUGGGUCACAAUGACAAUAUGCCACUCCAUUGGCUGAGCACUUGUUUGCAACAAUGAGCUACACAUGUUGGCCAAUACUGCCACAAUUUAACGCUUCUGUUCCUCUUGUCACAUCUGAAUGGGUGGCAUCUGGUCCAAAUUUUGGGUCCCUUUGAGGAUGCGUGAUAGGUAACUCUCAUCUGGAUAGCAGAGACACUUGACCAGCCAAUUACGUAUUCUGGAAUCCAGGAAGUUUAUGUAGGGAGCUUAAACGGAAGAUGCGUCUGAGAAACUCCCAUCAAGAGCACAUCCCAGCUUUUCAACGAUUGUAUAAGCCAGCGUUUGUUAAGUGCUUCCUCUGUCCCAGGCACUCUUUCAAGUGUUUUACGUGUAGUAACUCUUUUCAUAUAUGACCAUCUUAUGAAGCGUCACACAGCAUGCUUUACAUGAGUACAAUGCCUCGAUCAAAGUCAACGUCUGCUAAACAUGAAUGGGAUGCCAGAAAUCUCCAACUCCAGAGUGGAUGGUUUCUUCAUUAUACUCUGCAAAAAGCGUAAAAAGUCUUCUUACUUAAAAAUAUUUGAGGAAAUAAAAUGUUAACAGAAUAUUUG
rnacentral:lncRNA from 1 species